UCCAGAAGGACUGACGCUUUAAGAAACCUCCUGCAAAACUCCUGAGAAACUCUGCUCAAGUGCACCGAGGCCAAAAGCUGCUUUAAACACAAAGGAUGCUCACA